AGAAAAAACAAUGGUGAGGAUGAUAUGCUGAAAACAAUUUUUCUUAUUUCUGUUCCGUUUUUCUGCAUUGACCUUAAUCUGUUCAGAAAAAUCUCGGCUCUUCUUCGAUUCUUCUUUCGUUUU
ensembl:ncRNA C18B2.7 ncRNA